rnacentral:rRNA from 1 species
ACUCAAAUGAAUAGACGGGGGCUCACACAAGCGGUGGAGCAUGUGGCUCAAUUCGAAGCAACGCGAAGAACCUUAUCCUGGACUUGACAUGGUUGAAGUAAGAAGCGGAAACGCCUAUGACCGGUAUCCAAUCCGGAACGAUCACAGGUGCUGCAUGGCUGUCGUCAGCUCGUGCUGUGAAGUGUCGGGUUAAGUCCCAUAACGAGCGAAACCCCUAUCGUUAGUUGCCAGCGCGUCAUGGCGGGCACUCUAACGAGACUGCCGGUGUUAAACCGGAGGAAGGCGGGGAUGACGUCAAGUCCUCAUGGCCUUUAUGUCCAGGGCUGCACACGUGCUACAAUGCCGAUGACAAACCGAAGCAAGACAGUAAUGUGGAGCAAAUCGGAGAAAAAUCGGCCCAGUUCAGAUUGAGGGCUGCAACUCGCCCUCAUGAAGUUGGAAUCGCUAGUAAUCGCGGAUCAGCUAUGCCGCGGUGAAUGUGUUCCUGAGCCUUGCACACACCGCCCGU